rnacentral:rRNA from 1 species
UACGUAGGCAGCGAGCGUUGUUCGGAGUUACUGGGCGUAAAGAGUGCGUAGGCGGUUUUCUAAGUUUGGUGUGAAAUCUCCCGGCUAACUGGGAGGGUGCGCCGAAGACUGGAAGGCUUGAAUCCGGGAGAGGGAUGCGGAAUUCCAGGUGUAGCGGUGAAAUGCGUAGAUAUCGAGAGGAACACCUGCGGCGAAGGCGGGUUGCUGGGCUGACACUGACGCUGAGGCGCGAAAGCUAGGGGAGCGAACGGG